AACGUAGGAGGCAAGCGUUAUCCGGAGUAACUGGGCGUAAAGGGCGGGUAGGUGGUUGUGUAAGUUGGUUAUGAAAGCUCCUGGCUAAACUGGGAGAGGUUGACCAAGACUGCAGAACUUGAGUGGAGAAGAGGUAAACGGAAUUCCGCGUGUAGUGGUGAAAUGCGUAGAUAUCAAGAGGAACACCUGAGGUGAAGACGGGUUGCUGGGCCAACACUGACGCUGAGGCGCGAAAGCCAGGGGAGCAAACGGG
rnacentral:rRNA from 1 species